UACCAAAAUUUUAUCCAUUUAUACUAUUAAAAACUGAGGAUGGAACAACCCGACACUAACACGUGGCAUGCCACAUAUACCUCAUGUUGAGGUAUAAAGAUUAAUUUUUAAUAGUAAAAAUAGAUGACUAAUUUGCUA
rfam:Gossypium hirsutum cultivar TM-1 chromosome 12, whole genome shotgun sequence